GUUGAACGCUGGCGGCGUGUCUAAGGCAUGCAAGUCGAACGCGCACCUUCGGGUGCGAGUGGCAAACGGGUGCGUAACACGUUGGUAACCUACCCCAAAGACGGGAAUAACCUUCCGAAAGGAUGGCUAAUACCCGAUGUGCUUAACUCUCUACAAGAGUGGUAAGUAAAACUACGGUGCUUUGGGAGGGGCCUACGGACUAUCAGCUUGUUGGUAAGGUAAUGGCUUACCAAGGCUAUGACGGUUAGCGGGUGUGAGAGCACGACCCGCCUCACCGGGACUGAGACACUGCCCGGACUCCUACGGGAGGCUGCAGUCAAGAAUCUUUCUCAAUGGACGAAAGUCUGAAGAAGCGACGCCGCGUGCAGGAAUAAGCCCUUCGGGGUGUAAACUGCUUUUCUGAAGGAAAAAUUUGUGAUGGUACUUCAGGAAUAAGGGGGUGCUAACUCUGUGCCAGCAGCAGCGGUAACACAGAGCCCCCAAGCGUUAACCGGAUUUACUGGGCGUAAAGAGCUAAAAGGUGGCUUAGUAAGUCAGAAGUUAAAGACCAGGGCUCAACCCUGGGAAAGCUUUUGAAACUACUAAGCUAGAGGAUGGAAGAGGCAAGUGGAAUUGCUGGUGUAGCGGUAGAAUGCGUUAAUAUCAGCAGGAACACCAAAGGCGAAGGCGGCUUGCUGGGACAUUCCUGACACUAAAUAGCGAAAGCGUGGGUAGCGAAUGGGAUUAGAUACCCCAGUAGUCCACGCCGUAAACGAUGGAUGCUAGGCAUCGGGAGUUUCGACCCUCUCGGUGCCGCAAGCUAACGCAUUAAGCAUCCCGCCUGGGGAGUACGGCCGCAAGGCUAAAACUCAAAGGAAUUGACGGGAGCCCGCACAAGCGGUGGAGCAUGUGGUUUAAUUCGACAACAAGCGUGGAACCUCACCAGGACUUGACAUCCUCGGGAUCCCCCAGAAACGGGGGAGUGCCUUCGGGAACCGAGUGACAGGUGCUGCAUGGUUGUCGUCAGCUCGUGUCGUGAGAUGUACCGUUAAGUCGGGCAACGAAGGG
rnacentral:rRNA from 1 species